ACACAUGCAAGUCGAGCGGAGACAGUGAGUAGCUUGCUAUGAGCUGUUUUAGCGGCGGACGGGUGAGUAACGCGUGAGCAACCUUUCCCAGACAGGGGAAUAACACACCGAAAGGUGUACUAAUACCGCAUAAGACCACGGGAUCACAUGGUUCUGGGGUAAAAGAUUUAUCGGUUUGGGGUGGGCUCGCGUCCGAUUAGGUAGUUGGUGAGGUAACGGCCCACCAAGCCGACGAUCGGUAGCCGACCUGAGAGGGUGAUCGGCCACGUUGGGACUGAGACACGGCCCAAACUCCUACGGGAGGCAGCAGUGGGGAAUAUUGGGCAAUGGGGGGAACCCUGACCCAGCAACGCCGCGUGGAGGAAGAAGGUUUUCGGAUCGUAAACUCCUGUCCUUGGAGACGAGUAGAAGACGGUAUCCAAGGAGGAAGCCCCGGCUAACUACGUGCCAGCAGCCGCGGUAAUACGUAGGGGGCAAGCGUUGUCCGGAAUAAUUGGGCGUAAAGGGCGCGUAGGCGGCUCGGUAAGUCUGGAGUGAAAGUCCUGCUUUUAAGGUGGGAAUUGCUUUGGAUACUGUCGGGCUUGAGUGCAGGAGAGGUUAGUGGAAUUCCCAGUGUAGCGGUGAAAUGCGUAGAGAUUGGGAGGAACACCAGUGGCGAAGGCGACUAACUGGACUGUAACUGACGCUGAGGCGCGAAAGUGUGGGGAGCAAACAGGAUUAGAUACCCUGGUAGUCCACACUGUAAACGAUGAAUGCUAGGUGUAGGGGGUAUCGACCCCUUCUGUGCCGCAGUCAACACAAUAAGCAUUCCGCCUGGGGAGUACGGCCGCA
rnacentral:rRNA from 1 species